UGUACUUUAAUACCGUAUAAGAUGCUUACAAGUUGGGAUAUUUAUUUUGUAUGGGUGAAGGAAUAAAGUAUUAACAUAUUAAAUUACAUACUGCUUUGUAGUUUUCCAUAUACUUAAGAAAAAAAAAACACAUUUUAAAAAAAUCUAGCAUGACAUACUGGACUAAAUUAUGUUCAUACACACACACACACACACACACACACACAUAUAUAUAUAUAUAUAUAUAUAUAUAUAUUUCAAAUUAUGUCUCAAUCCUAAAAUUCUAGGUGAUGCAAAAUAGCCAUAGGAGGAGCUGUAGGAUUCAUUUUUUGUUAUUUUAUUCAUAUGUAAUGGAGGUUGCUUAAAUGAUUAAUGGAAUAGCAGUGUAAGCAUAAUUGACUAUUGUCCUUUAUUAAUUAAAUAUUCAAGAAUUUACUAUGUAUAUAAUUUACAUUUAAAAUAUGCUUUUAAAAUUUAGAUUCAUAGCAAUGGAAUUGUACGUAUACUUGUGAUAGACUUGUGAUAGUAUAAUUAGUAUAAGUAUAACAGAUGGUCACUGGCAUUGUUUUAAUCUCAUGUAACACCAGGCAAUUUUUCAAGUAACUCACUCUAAAGGACAUUAUUAAGCAAUUUAAACAAAGUCCCUGAAAUCAAGAUUGUUUAGGUUUUGAGGCUUGGAUUGUUCACAUGGUUACAAUUGAUUAAAGUUGCCUGAUAAUACAUGGGCUUUACAGUUAAAAGACGGAAGAAAGGCAGAUAAAGGCUUCUGUUGAAACACGAUACAGCAGUUCGAUGCAUUACAGACUGAAUGGAUAGAGCAGGCAGUUUUGUAGAGAUUUAGAAUUAGAGAAAACCCCUCGGUUCCCUUAGUGAACUCCAUUAUGAGUUAGAUUCUGAAAAAGGCUGUCUUUAGUGGAUGAAUAAUUCUGUUCUAAUCAAGACUCAAAAGGCAGUAACCAUGUAUGAAGAUAUUUCCAGAAAUUGAAGAGCAUGAACAGUUAUACUGCAGUUGCCAUGAACUUGAUACUCUGUAUAGUGGUGGUAUGCAACCUCUGUAAUGCUUUUAAGAAGCCACGCAAUAUUGUUCAGUUUACAGAUCUAGAUCCUUCUACCUGUAAAGACUGUAAUAACCUCCUAUUUUGAAAGCCUCAAUGCGCUAUUAUGAAUUACAGUACAGUACUACAGGGCUACGCAGUACUGUGUUCAGAGGAAUCAUCCUAUGCUCUGCUUUCAGACUGUGAAAAGGCUUGGAAUUACCAGUGGACUUUCUUUUAAAGAACUCCCACAUAAGGCCUAAAAUAAAAUAUUUCCAGGAUACGGUUUCCCGACCCUGCAGAAUCCCCCCUGAUCCAAACAAUCUUAACGGACAAAAAAAAAAAAAAAAAGAAAACGCAGAUUGAAAAUCCUGCGAGACUCAUCCACCAAUGAAGAAAACGCUGGAAAACCCACAGCACCAAAGAUCACUAUUCAGAAAUUUCCCAUGGAGUUUCUUCAGCAGCAAAGGGGAGAAGGUACAGCCGCAUACAAUUCAGCUGGGGGUUUUCAAGAACAAAUCAACAGUGAUAGAUCUCUUCUGUGUUUAAAAGAAAAUUGUAAAGGUACCUUUCCAUCCAUGCGUCUUAAAAAUAACAUAAUCCAGCCCUUCUGCAUAAGCAUUCUGUAUAAAUCAGCAUCAUCUUUUGGGUCCCAAUCAAAUCCCUAUUGAAGUGAGUAAUGUGAUCCUCUCUACACUCUGGAACCUAUUAUUUUGGAAUCCUGCAGGAUUUGUUUGUCAAGUCAAUGUAAAUCUGACUGCAGUCCUGGCACAGUCAUGUGAUUUGUUAUUUUCUAAGUUUAUAACUAGUGUUUAAGAACAACAAAAGCAAGACUUUGCUUAUCCCACCAGUGCCAUGCUGAAUUGUGAAGUAGUUGAACAGUAAAUACAAUGGCAAAGCUAUCACACAGAGCUGUCUCAAAAGAAAAUGUGCACUUAUCAAAGAAGCUGAAAGUUUACCAAAACCAACACAAAAAGAGUGAAGUGAAAAAUUCAGAAAUUGCAAGGCAAACUGUUUCAGACAUUAUGAAAAGAAAAUAUGUCUACUUAAAGCAACAUGGAGAAAACCUGAAUGCCAGCAGAAAAUGCCUAAAACCAGCAUGCAGGUUUGACCAAGUGAACGUUCUUUUAUGGGAAUGGUUUAAACAGGCUUGUGCAAAAUACUUCACACCAAAGCACUUGAAUUUCCGAACCAUCUGAAUAUUGAAGAUUUCAAGGCUUCUAAUGGAUGGUUAGGGAGUUGGCGAUUACGUUAUGCUGUUAAAUUUAGUAAGCUUUCCAGUGAUUCAGCCAAUGUAAAAAGUGUAGAGAAAAGUGUAAAGUAUUGCAUGCGGGCAAUAAAAAUGUGCAUUAUAAAUAUCACAUGGGAGAUAGUGAAAUUGAAGAAGGGAACUAUGAAAAAGACCUAGGAGUUUAUGUUGACUCAGAAAUGUUUUUAUCUAGACAAUGUAGAGAAGCUAUAAAAAAGGCUAACAAGAUGCUUGGAUAUAUUGUGAGAAGUGUUGAAUUUAAAUCAAGGGAAGUAAUGUUAAAACUCUACAAUGCAUUAGUAAGACCUCACCUAGAAUAUUGUGUUCAGUUCUGGUCACCUCGUUACAAAAAGGAUAUUGCUGCUCUAGAAAGAGUGCAAAGAAGAGCAACCAGAAUUAUCCUGGGUUUAAAAGGCAUGUCGUAUGCAGACAGGCUAAUAGAAUUGAAUCUGUUCAGUCUUGAACAAAGAAGACUACGCAGUGAUCUGAUUGAAACAUUCAAAAUCCUAAAAGGUAUAGACAAUGUCAGCCCGGGGGACUUCUUUGACCUGAAAAAAGAAACAAGGGACCAGGGGUCACAAAUGGAGAUUAGAUAAAGGGGCAUUCAGAACAGAAAAUAGGAGGCACUUUUUUACACAAAGAAUUGUGAGGGUCUGCAACCAAUUCCCCAGUAAUGUUGUUGAAGCUGACACCCUGGGAUCCUUCAAGAAGCUGCUUGAUGAGAUUCUGGGAUCAAUAAGUUACUAACAACCAAACGAGCAAGGUGGGCUGAAUGGCCUCCUCUCGUUUUUAAACUUUCUUAUGUUCUUAAAUUUACAGAGCGUGUCUGAAUUCAAAGCAAAACUGGCUGAAUGUUGUGCUGGUGAUGACGUUGGUGACAUUUUUAAUUGUGAUGAAACUUGCAAAGGAAAGGCUAACUCUAAAGAGAAGUUAAAGCCACUUGUUAUAGGAAAAGCUGCAAGGCUGUGUUUUGAACACAUUGAUCCAGCAACACUACCUGUCACCUGGACAGGCAAUAAAAAAGCCUGGAUCACAACUGUACUUUUUUGUGCCUGGCUGAAGGAGCUGAACAAAACGAUGCACACAAGGAAACGUAACAUUUUACUUCUGCUUGAGAAUGCAACCUCUCAUUGCACUGAGCAAUGUGCAAAUGCUGCUUCUGCCUCCAAACACUACCAGCUUUUUACAGCCUCUGGAGCAGGGCAUUAUUCAGAAUGUGAAGCUGCUUUACCGUACGCAUAUAAUGAGCAACUUGGUAGCAAAGAUUAACAAUUCAUCUGCAACCGAGCUGUCAAAGUCCAUCACAGUUCUGGAUGCCAUCUACUGGAUUGAACCAGCAUAGUCCCAGGUAAAGGAUUCCACCAUCACAAAGUGCUUUGCCAAAGCUGGAUUGGGGACAGACUGUGAGAUAAUCAAAACCAAACCUUCAGAGAGUAAUGACAAUGAGACUGGGCUGCAACAGCUUAUUGAGCAUGUUAGAGUUCAGGUCACAAGUAUGUGAACUUUGAUUAAAGUUUUCUAACAGAGGAAACCUUUGGGAAUGACUGGGAACAGCAGAUUUUUGCUCAACAUCUGAAUCCAGCCACCACCAAUGCGUCGACUUUUAAAGAGCAAUCAGAUGUUGAAGAAACUUCAGCUUCACCUGUAUCACUCAGCGAGGCACUGAAGACCCUCGAGCGUAUGAGGAAAACAGCAUUUUAAUGGACUGACUGAACUGUCUGAAAAAAACAUUGUGACCAGAAAACUGAAAGCUGCAGACAACAAUCUUUUGACUUCAAAAACAAAAUUUAAAAAAAAAACCCUUGCACCAUGUUUUUAUUAACAGUACUGUUUCUUUUUUCUUUUAAAUGAAAGGUAUUUUAGUGCAGAAUGCAGUGUUAAAACCCCAUCCCUGCAAAAAUAUGUAAUGAAUGUAGCCAGCGAUACUUGAUUAAUUUGCCAAUUUGGGGCUGGAGAGCUGUGUUUUAAGGAGCUCAAAGCCACUAGGACGAAUAGACUUUGUUAAGAGGAGCAGUUAAAUUCCCCAUUGGUAAAAGAUUUCGGUUUUGCUUGAAUUAGUGUAUUUAGAGAGAGUAGUGUUCCUGGUGCAGGACCUCCCGUUGCAGGGGGAGUAGCGCACAGCCAAACUUGGCAACCUUCUAUUUAGUUAGCUUAACAGAAUUAGCUGAAGUAUCGUCCCAAAUGAUACCAUCAUUGGUACUUCGUUGGUGGUGCGUGGUAUUGCUCCUGCACCGCUUUUGUUAUUUUUGCAGCAAAAGUAAUAAAGCCUGGACACCUGUGCCUGCAUGUUGACUCCAAUCCCUCUGUCUCUCUCACUCCCUCACAGCAGACUCAUACACCCCUUUUUUUUUUUUUUUACUGUACUUUGCAAAAUAUUGAAAUGCAAGAUGCAUGCAUAUCAGAUACAAAUUGUUGUGUUUAAAGUUUUGCUGAGUAAUUAUUUUUAUAACAUUCCAAAUGUGCCAUUUUUGUUUGCUUUGAUUUAACAUUGAAAUGACUGUACAUUAUUCUUUUAAAUUAAAAUAUGUAUACAGUAUGUAUACAGUAAAAUCCAGGUUUACAAGUAAAAUUAAAAUGCAAUUCCAGAAUUACAGGCUAUAUCUGGAUGGCAUUGAAAGCAUUCAAAUAGUGUAAUUUUACUUUUUUUUAGGUACAGUAUUUGAUGUUUUACAGUACCUCUAUAAACCAGCACACAGUAUAAUCCGGAGCAAUUUUCCAGUGCCACGUGAUUAGACAGGCUUUACUCUAUCUAGUGCUUAUUGAGUUCAGUUAGUUGGUUCUAGAGGUUCUAGAGAGUACCAGAAGCUGGUGUUAUAAGGGGCAUAUAUCUGAAUGUUAAACUUUUUUCAAUGUUCAUGCAGUGUCUGUACUUUUGUAUUUACAGGGAAUGUCAAUGACAAAGGAAAUAAGAAUAGUGUACAAUUGCCAUAUGUACUUGCAGCAAACUUAAAAAAAAAGAUGCUUAUUGGUGUUACAGGCUGCAGCUUUUUGUUCAAUAGUGUACUAAGUGGGAGUCUCAUUUGGGAAUUUAAGAUAAAUGUAAAACAUCUGUUGCAAUCUCAAAUAAAUAUGUCAUUUUUGGUUCUAGUA